UACAGAGGGUGCAAGCGUUAAUCGGAAUUACUGGGCGUAAAGCGCGCGUAGACGGUUACAUAAGUCGGGUGUGAAAGCCCCGGGCUCAACCUGGGAAUUGCAUUCGAGACUGCGUAGCUAGGGUGCGGAAGAGGGAAGCGGAAUUUCCGGUGUAGCGGUGAAAUGCGUAGAUAUCGGAAGGAACACCAGUGGCGAAAGCGGCUUCCUGGUCCAGCACCGACGUUCAGGCGCGAAAGCGUGGGGAGCAAACAGG
rnacentral:rRNA from 1 species